CCUCGGCUGCUGGGGGGCGGCAGCGCUGCGCGCCCGGCCGCCGAGCCGGCACCCCCGGAGGGCUCGCUCCAGCCGCGUCCUUUCCGCGCGGAAGAAGUGCAGUCGGAGGCGCCGCGCUGAAGUGCCCUGCUCUCGGGCUGGGCUGGAAGACCCACAGGUCUUUUGGGGGCCUGAUGCAUUCCGUGUUUCAUCACCAGCCAUAAGUGACUUAGAAGGUGAGGUGGAGUCCAGGGAAGAGGAGCUUCGGGCAAUAGUAAUUCUGAAAUUUAUCGUUGCCCAAAAUAAAUUUGCUCACCAUAUUAAAAACUACAACAAAAACACACCUUUUGGGGUUCUGAAAAGUAGCAGCCAAGUGGUUAAACAGAAGUGUUCAAGGAAGAAUUCCUGAGCCCAUAGGGCUGGAGAGAACACUGGGUUAGCCUUUGCUGUGGUUUAAAAAAAAAAAAAAGCAGACAUCGGAAACUGCAGUGGAGGGCUUUCAUAACAGAAACAUUAGCUUCAUUGUAGCUUGUCGUGGAAAACAGGGACCUUUUAAAAUGUUCAAAAACAUCAGUUAGGGCUCAACAAUUUUCCUUUUUUCCCCAAAUACAGCUCCUACUAGCACACUGGCCAGAUAAAACCUCCCCCUUCCAAUGUUCCAUCUUUUUACUAAAGCACAGGAAACCGUAGACUUGAGUGAAGGCUUUGUCCAGAAAGGUGGAAGCAAGACUGAUGGAAAAAGACAUCUGGGAAAUGAUCCCCAGGUCUGAGUUAAUACCUCAUGGAAAGCCGCAGAAUCACCCAAAGACUGGGAGUGAAGACUGAAGCUCUCCUAGCAACGUGAAGCCCUCCACGGUGCAGCUGUUGUGCACCAGUCCUGAUUUCCUCUGAGCCACUAAUUGCACAUUAUAAAUACAAAAUGUAUAAUACAACAUAA